CGCACAUUGCGCUCCCUGGCACUCCGGGGAGCACGCCUGUCUGAGCGUCAUCAACACCCCUCACGCGCAGCGUGGUCUUGGGCGCGGUCGCGGUGCGGCCCGCCUCAAAGCGAGUGGCAGCGCCUGCUGGGUCGAGCGAAGAGUAGUGGCUUUUAUCGCUCUGCGCCCGGCGGUCGCUCGCCAGCGAAAGCCUUUUUUCUACAGGUUGACCUCAGAUCAGGCGGGGAUACCCGCUGAACUUAA
rnacentral:misc_RNA from 1 species